UGCAGAUCUUCGUCAAGACCGUCACCGGGCAGACCCUCACGCUCGAGGUCAAGGGCACCGACACCGUCGACACCAUCAAAGCUCGGAUCCAGGACAAGCAAGGGAUCACCGGCACCGCCUCCCAAGACGACCCGCACCAUCUGCCGUCCCUCGUCUUCGCCGGGAAGCAGCUAGAGGAGGAGGACGGCCGGACGCUGGCCGACUACGGCAUUGGCAAGGAGUCGACGCUGCACCACGUGCUCGGCCUCCGCGGCGGCUUCCGGCAACGAAGCUGCUACCCCAAUCACAUCAGCCUCCUAGCGCUUUGCGCUCCGCUACAACGAGAACAAGAUGAUCUGCCGCAAGUGCUAUGGACGUCUUCCUCCUGGGGCUACCAACUGCCGCAAGAAGAAGUGCGGCCACAGCAAUGACCUAAGGCCCAAGAAACGUUUCGAUGGUAGAGCAGGUUUACGAGGGAAAUAGUGACAUGUACCUACAACAAGGCGACCAUAAGGACCGAUUAUAUAUGCUCCCCUCUGCACCAGUGAUCAGCAUCUCCUGCUUUGCUUGGCAUACAUAUAUUCUUGAAGCACCUCCUGCGCUUUUCCUCAUAACGCUGAUGUACAAUUGCAUUCUUUUUUUAGUAAUAUAUCUAGCAUUCCGUGGACAUUGCCAUAAUGUAUUUUUGUUGUUUAUUCUUCUCAACAUGACUUUUCAAAUUCUGAUGCAUCCCCUACUUGUCACAUACUCCAACCUCCGAUGG